rnacentral:rRNA from 1 species
GAACGAACGUUGGCGGCGUGGAUUAGGCAUGCAAGUCGAACGAGAAAGCCACCUUCGGGUGGUUAGUAAAGUGGCGAACGGGUGAGUAACGCGUGGGAAAUCUGCCCUACAGUUGGGGAUAACACUCCUAACGGAGUGCUAAUACCGAAUGAGACCACGAGAUCGCAUGGUCUUGAGGUUGAAGGUGGCCUCUCCUUGGAAGCUACCGCUGCAGGAGGAUCCCGCGUCCCAUUAGCUUGUUGGUGAGGUAACGGCUCACCAAGGCCAUGAUGGUUAGCUGGUCUGAGAGGAUGAUCAGCCACACUGGGACUGACACACGGCCCAGACUCCUACGGGAGGCAGCAGUGGGGAAUCUUGCGCAAUGGGGGAAACCCUGACGCAGCAACGCCGCGUGGGUGAUGAAGGCCCUUGGGUCGUAAAGCCCUGUCUGGAGGAAAGAAUCCCGCUCUCGCUAAUACCGGGAGUGGAUGACGGUACCUCUGAAGGAAGCACCGGCUAACUCCGUG